UCUAUUGGCUACUUAACCAGACGGCCUGACGUCACCACUAUGCGUCAAAUCUUUCCCACCUGUGGCCACAUGUUCUAAACAUGGCGAACCAGUUACCAAACUUUGGCCAACAGGCGAUGGGGAGAAGCUCCUGUACAGAUUUGCAGCAGGCCAAGCAACACCUUCCUCUGGAUCUUGAUUACUUAUAUUUUGUCUACCCCGUUGAGAUUAUAUUUAUCAGCUCACUAGCAAAUCAAGUAGACUUGCCUCAAGAGGUAGUGUAGGUUCUCUCCAACCUGUAUAGUCUAGUCAAUGCUGAAAUGGAAGAAAGAUGUGCCCCAUCAAUUGUUGUUGAGUUGGAAUGGCGAAAUGGGACGUCCUAAACCGAUUGUCAGAACAGCACCUUCGACAGCCGAUUGAAAUGGAUCUGCCUGUACCUUGCAUCGCCAAACUGCUUGGCAUCUCAACACAAACUGACCAACACAAGAAUGCAGGAAUAAGGUAUCGUGGUAAGGGUAACGUACAGCCAAAUGACAGACGAGGAGCUGGACAAUCUGGUGGCCACAGUCAAGACAAGUUCACCACAAUUAGGAUGGUGAGAGAACUUCUGAAAACACUGGGUCAUUGAGUCCAGUGGACCCGAGUGUGGGACUCAGUGCAUUGUGUAGAUGCUGCAGGAAUACAGGAAAGAAUGGCAAGACUUGGAUGUGUUGUCAGAAGAACAUUCUCUGUUCGGGGGUCCUCUUUCCCUCAUACAUGUGGACACCAACCACAAGUUGAUCAGGUUUGAACAGUUAUGGAGGGACCGUGUGGAUGGCCGGGUCAAACAUAUUUUACACAGUUUGGAAGAUGAGGGCUCCCUUGACCUGUCAAACAGCCUUCACCUAUUCUGUGCUCACUAUGUAUUCCUCACGUGCCUCCAAGCAGACCUAGACACCUUUACCAAUGGAUGGGAUAAACAUUCUCUGCACAUUUGAGCAAAAUCUGACCCACAACCAGCUAUGGGAAAUGGGACAAGCCCAGAAUCCUGUCACCUUCCGUGGCAAUGUGGAGGAUUUAAACAACUUGGACGGGGAUGAUGCCUGCCUCCCAGAGGAGCAUGGGAAUUGUGGUCCCACAAGUGGAGUGCCCGCUGACAGCAGGAUGUGACACUGCUCAUAGCAGCCAAGCGACCCAACCUCACCAUCUUCGAGACUAGGGACAAGAUAUUUAUGCGUCCGUUUUGAACUAUGUGCUGCUACUUAUGGCUGAACGAUCCUUAUACCUCUGCUUGAUACUGUCGCAAGGAACAACAACUGUCUGUCCAGUCCAGUAAUUCUAAAUUGCUGCAAUGUUAUGAAAUGUGGUCGCAGCAAAAUGACAGCAGUUGAUUGGCUGAUUUUCAUUGGUUACUAAUGUUGCGGAAAAGGUUCAGAAAGGACUUGCACGUAAAAGGGAGAAAAUUCACAUUGAUUUAGUUUAUUUAAUCUCAAAAUUGUAAUGAGAGACAGUGUCGGUUAUAGGUAUGCGAGAGUUUUAAGUGUGCGUCACUAUGUAUCGGAGAGAGCAUGUCUAUUAAUCUUAUUUUGUGUCUGCAAAUGUGUAAAGUACCAAACUAAUGUCGUAUAUGAAGAUUAUGACGUUGUUAAUGUUUUUAAGUGGAACCGGAGAGGACGUUUAUUUUAGUGUCAGA